rnacentral:ncRNA from 20 species
AUCUUAUCAAGAGCAGGUGGAGGGACUAGCCCUAUGAAACCCGGCAACCGGCGGCAACAUCGCACGGUGCUAAUUCUUGCAGGAGAUACGACGAUUGUAUAAGCCGUUGUAUAGCCUGACAGAUGAGAG